rnacentral:rRNA from 1 species
GACGAACGCUGGCGGCGUGCCUAACACAUGCAAGUCGAGCGGAGAUGAUGUGAGGAAGUUUUCGGAUGGAAUCACAUUAUUUUAGCGGCGGACGGGUGAGUAACGCGUGAGCGACCAACCUUGCACAGGGGGAUAACGGACCGAAAGGUUCACUAAUACCGCAUGAGACCACGGUGUUGCAUGACACAGAGGUCAAAGGAGAGAUCCGGUGCAAGACGGGCUCGCGUCCGAUUAGGUAGUUGGAGGGGUAACGGCCCACCAAGCCUAUGAUCGGUAGCCGACCUGAGAGGGUGAUCGGCCACAUUGGAACUGAGAUACGGUCCAAACUCCUACGGGAGGCAGCAGUGGGGAAUAUUGGGCAAUGGGGGAAACCCUGACCCAGCAACGCCGCGUGAAGGAAGAAGGUUUUCGGAUUGUAAACUUCUGUCCUUGGUGAAGAGAAGAAGACGGUAGCCAAGGAGGAAGCCCCGGCUAACUACGUGCCAGCAGCCGCCGCCG